AUUGAACGCUGGCGGCAUGCUUUACACAUGCAAGUCGAACGGUAACAGGCCGCAAGGUGCUGACGAGUGGCGAACGGGUGAGUAAUGCAUCGGAACGUGCCCAGUCGUGGGGGAUAACUACUCGAAAGAGUAGCUAAUACCGCAUACGAUCUAUGGAUGAAAGCGGGGGACCGUAAGGCCUCGCGCGAUUGGAGCGGCCGAUGUCAGAUUAGGUAGUUGGUGGGGUAAAGGCUCACCAAGCCAACGAUCUGUAGCUGGUCUGAGAGGACGGCCAGCCACACUGGGACUGAGACACGGCCCAGACUCCUACGGGAGGCAGCAGUGGGGAAUUUUGGACAAUGGGCGCAAGCCUGAUCCAGCAAUGCCGCGUGCAGGAAGAAGGCCUUCGGGUUGUAAACUGCUUUUGUACGGAACGAAACGGCUCUGGUUAAUACCCGGGGCUAAUGACGGUACCGGAAGAAUAAGCACCGGCUAACUACGUG
rnacentral:rRNA from 1 species